CCCUUAGAUGUUCUGGGCCGCACGCGCGCUACACUGACGAAUGCAACGAGCUUAUAACCUUGGCCGAAAGGUCUGGGUAAUCUCCAAAUUUCGUCGUGAUGGGGAUAGAUUAUUGCAAUUAUUAAUCUUCAACGAGGAAUGCCUAGUAAGCGCAAGUCAUCAGCUUGCGUUGAUUACGUCCCUGCCCUUUGUACACACCGCCCGUCGCUCCUACCGAUUGAAUGGUCCGGUGAAGCGUUCGGACCGUGGCCUUUGGACGGUUCGCCGUGUGUUGGCUGCGGGAAGUUCGUUAAACCUUAUCAUUUAGAGGAAGGAGAAGUCGUAACA
rnacentral:rRNA from 1 species